GCAAUAAACCUGAAAUAUUAAUAUUUGGAGAAAACUUGGAAUGUGAAAAUUUAGGAUGAAAUAUUAGAAAAAGAAAAAUCUAAUCUGUUAUGUCAUAAUUACUGUCAGUUUAAAAUGACUGAAAGAGGAAAAAACCAGCUUCUCCCUUAUCCUCAACUGAGGCUUAAAUUCCAAGAAGAAAAACUUUUAGUUUAAAGAAUUACCAGGAUUCUUCCAAUGUAGUAUUCUGUAAUGCUAUUCUUUCCAUAUAAAGAAAUUUACAGAUUUUUUUUCCUUCAUAGAGGGAUUUCAGGAUUGUCUGAGGCUUAUGUAAUUUAUGGAUGUUUUCCUAUAGUGUCAUAAUUGAUUGUAUCACAUUUAUCACAUUCUCGUGUUUUAUUUUGACCUUUUUCUAUGCUUUUUUUCAUG
rnacentral:lncRNA from 1 species